GAUGGACGGGAAGCAGAUGGCGUCGAGCUCGAUUGGUGGGGUUGAGAGUGAAAUAAUGGGGAGCUUGGUAGCAGGGAAAAAGACACCUGCAAGGGUCGAAGUCUUCUUGAUGAACAAUCAGAACUUUGAUCUAAAUGAGCCACCACCUAAGGAUGAGCAGCUCGAGAAGGUUUAGCCGCUCGUGCAGCUGGAGGAACUACCCAUGGCACAACAUGAUCAGUUUUCACAUUCACAAUGGCUGGAGGCAGCUUAACUAUUCCUCUAUCAGCCAGAAGAACUCUUGGCAAGAAGCAUAGUCGUGUAAGAUAUUAUCGGAAGAAUAUACCUAUCCCUUGAAUGAUGGAAAGGCUCGUGAGGAAGUUUUGAAUUUCCCGCUUCAUAUUUUUUGUGCAAUUGACUCACAAAAUUGCUAACUUGAGGGAGAGAGUUGGCAUAUUACCUCAUGAUCACUCUAGCCACUCAUAAUGGCUUUUCUAUUAAUUUCCCAUGAUGAGUUUAAUAUCUGGAUUGUUUGAAAAGAAUUUA